rnacentral:rRNA from 1 species
CGAACGCUGGCGGCGUGCUUAACACAUGCAAGUCGAACGCGAAAGGGACUUCGGUCCUGAGUAAAGUGGCGGCACGGGUGAGUAACGCGUAGAUAACCUGUCUUCAUGUCUGGAAUAAUACGCCGAAAGGGGUACUAAUACCGGAUAUUCUUGCUUUUCAUAAGUUAUGCAAGCAAAGGUGGCCUCUGCAUAUGCUACUGCAUGAAGAGGGGUCUGCGUACCAUUAGCUAGUAGGUGGGGUAAUGGCCUACCUAGGCGACGAUGGUUAGCGGGUCUGAGAGGAUGAUCCGCCACACUGGCACUGGAACACGGGCCAGACUCCUACGGGAGGCAGCAGUGAGGAAUAUUGCGCAAUGGGGGAAACCCUGACGCAGCGACGCCGCGUGAGUGAAGGAAGGCCUUCGGGUCGUAAAGCUCUGUCAAGAGGAAAGAAGUGUACAAUGGCUAAUACCUGUUGUAUUUGACGGUACCUCUAAAGGAAGCACCGGCUAACUCCGUGCCAGCCGCUGC